ACGUAGGGGGCAAGCGUUAUCCGGAUUUACUGGGUGUAAAGGGAGCGUAGACGGCUGUGCAAGUCUGAAGUGAAAAGCAUGGGCUCAACCUGUGGACUGCUUUGGAAACUGUGCAGCUAGAGUGUCGGAGAGGUAAGUGGAAUUCCUAGUGUAGCGGUGAAAUGCGUAGAUAUUAGGAGGAACACCAGUGGCGAAGGCGGCUUACUGGACGAUGACUGACGUUGAGGCUCGAAAGCGUGGGGAGCAAACAG
rnacentral:rRNA from 1 species